AGGACGAACGCUGGCGGCGUGCUUAACACAUGCAAGUCGAGCGGUGAUCCUCCUUCGGGAGGUGAUCAGCGGCGAACGGGUGAGUAACACGUGGGCAACCUGCCCCUCACACUGGGAUAACCUCGGGAAACCGGGGCUAAUACCGGAUACGACCUCGAGCGGCAUCUCUUGAGGUGGAAAGCUCCGACGGUGAGGGAUGGGCCCGCGGCCUAUCAGCUUGUUGGUGGGUAAUGGCCUACCAAGGCGACGACGGGUAGCC
rnacentral:rRNA from 1 species